UUGAAAUAGCGGUUCUCGUACGAUUAUCGAAGUUAAGCAACCUCAAGCCUGGCCAGUACUUAGAUGGGUGACCACUUAGAAAUACUACGUGCUGUAU